rnacentral:rRNA from 1 species
GACGAACGCUGGCGGCGUGCUUAACACAUGCAAGUCGAGCGGAAAGGCCCUUCGGGGUACUCGAGCGGCGAACGGGUGAGUAACACGUGAGUAACCUGCCCCAGACUUUGGGAUAACCCUCGGAAACGGGGCUAAUACCGGAUACGACACAGCUUCGCAUGGGGUCUGUGUGGAAAGUUUUUCGGUUUGGGAUGGGCUCGCGGCCUAUCAGCUUGUUGGUGGGGUGAUGGCCUACCAAGGCGACGACGGGUAGCCGGCCUGAGAGGGCGACCGGCCACACUGGGACUGAGACACGGCCCAGACUCCUACGGGAGGCAGCAGUGGGGAAUAUUGCACAAUGGGCGGAAGCCUGAUGCAGCGACGCCGCGUGAGGGAUGACGGCCUUCGGGUUGUAAACCUCUUUCAGCAGGGACGAAGCGUAAGUGACGGUACCUGCAGAAGAAGCGCCGGCCAACUACGUG